CCUACGGGAGGCAGCAGUGGGGGAUAUUGCACAAUGGGGGAAACCCUGAUGCAGCGACGCCGCGUGGGUGAAGAAGCGCCUCGGCGCGUAAAGCCCUGUCAGCAGGGAAGAAAAUGACGGUACCUGAAGAAGAAGCGCCGGCUAACUACGUGCCAGCAGCCGCGGUAAUACGUAGGGGGCAAGCGUUAUCCGGAUUUACUGGGUGUAAAGGGGGAGCAGACGGCGAUGCAAGCCAGGAGUGAAAGCCCGGGGCCCAACCCCGGGACUGCUCUUGGAACUGCGUGGCUAGAGUGCAGGAGGGGCAGGCUGAAUUCCUGGUGUAGCGGUGAAAUGCGUAGAUAUCAGGAGGAACACCGGUGGCGAAGGCGGCCUGCUGGACUGCAACUGACGUUGAGGCCCGAAAGCGUGGGGAGCAAACAGGAUUAGAUACCCUAGUAGUC
rnacentral:rRNA from 1 species